rnacentral:rRNA from 1 species
AGAACGAACGCUGGCGGCAUGCCUAACACAUGCAAGUCGAACGAGAUCCUUCGGGAUCUAGUGGCGCACGGGUGCGUAACGCGUGGGAACCUGCCCCUCGGUUCGGAAUAACACAGAGAAAUUUGUGCUAAUACCGAAUGAUGACUUCGGUCCAAAGAUUUAUCGCCGAGGGAUGGGCCCGCGUAGGAUUAGCUUGUUGGUGGGGUAAUGGCCUACCAAGGCAACGAUCCUUAGCUGGUCUGAGAGGAUGAUCAGCCACACUGGGACUGAGACACGGCCCAGACUCCUACGGGAGGCAGCAGUGGGGAAUAUUGGACAAUGGGCGAAAGCCUGAUCCAGCAAUGCCGCGUGAGUGAUGAAGGCCUUGGGUUGUAAGCUCUUUACCCGGGAUGAUAAUGACAGUACCGGAGAAUAAGCUCCGGCUAACUCCGCGCCAGCAGCCGC